rnacentral:lncRNA from 1 species
UUUUUCUUCACCCAUGGUCAGGGAGGCGCCAUCGCCCUGGCUUUGGGGCUGGGGCCUCCGGGGAGGUUCCGGUAGGGGCGUUGGAGAGGCCGCUCUUUUUGCAAGGCCCGAGAUGGCGGGCCCUGCGCAGGCCGCCCUAUUCCGCGCCCUCAGGGCGUCAGUAUCCGCCUGAGGCCGGAUACCCACUCUGGGCUCGGAUACCCGCGCUGGGCCCGGAGCAUCCUCGGCGCUGCCCUCCCAGAGCCCCGCAGAGGCUGAGGUGGCGCGGGGGCGGCCCCGGCUCCGCGAGAAGAGGCGGCAGCGAGGGCUGGAGGACCCGGGCUACGGGGCUCCGGGGCGUCUGGCCUGGGUGGGACUGAGCCCAUCCAGGGACUGGGACUCCGGGGUUCUGGUGUAGGUGGAUCCCGGGCAGGCUCAGGACCAAGACCCUCUCCUUCCACCAAGGAGCGCCCAGAGGCCGGCGGGAGCUCCAGGUUCACCUCCUCCUCCUCCAGGGACGACUUGAGAAGGCAUCCUGACCCUAUGCAGAAAUGCAGAAACACUUCCAUGAGCUAAACAACCUAUGUGAAGGCCUGAAAGCCAAAGCAAGAUCCUCUUAUUACAAAGCUGUCCAACAAAAAGUUUUCCAAGUAACACUGGAGGUCCAUCACUCACUCUUCCUGGUCUGGAAAUGCCAGAAAUGUCCUCCUUGGUCCUUCUGAGAGUCAAGAUCUUUUCAAAGUCACCUCAGGAGCCACAGAACCACUCCAUCCUACCUGAAAUUGCAGGAUGACUCUUCUUUUGACCAGAGUCUCAAAAAUAUAUUCGUUGAUAAUUUUGAUUCCUGGGAGCCGCCAUUGCUUGCAAAAGAUGUGCCAGGGACUAGACAUUUUCUGUCUCCUCACUUGUCCGGGGAAGACUGAAGUUUUACUGAAACACAGAGAUGGGAAUCUGACCCUCUGAGCAGCCUCAGGAUUUUCUAAGUCUUCCAAGCAGAGUGGAAAUACUGGAAAUCCCACUUCCAGCUGGAUGUCUGGAUGAACUCCUGAAAGCUGCUGAGUGUCCUGCAGCAGGUGAGCUGUGGCCAGAGCCCAAGGAUGAAGGGGACUCCCUCACUCUGUGACUGUGAAGAGGAAGCCUGAGGUGUAGCAGGCCCAGGCCCCAGAAGUAUGGAAAAAAUGAGGCCAUUUCCAAUCCAGAGGAAGACCUUCUAGAAGAAGUGAUGGGUGGGAGAGUGCUGACAUACUAUGCAAAGCUACUAUUUGGAGUUGGACACGAGUGCAUGUGACCUUGUGCCACAGCGGGAAUGUGAGCUGGAUGACAAAUGGAGAUUUGGACUUGUGAUAAUUGGCCUCUGUGUCAUUGUGUGGAAGACUGACUGGUCCCUUUAUUUCCUGUAGCUUGACUACCACACAAAUUAAUCCACUCAAAUGUUGGCAAGUGGAGCAGAGUCCCAGGACAGUCUGCAAUCUCUACAGGUACAGAAACACCCCCAGUUCAAGGAUCUUCACACCUGGAUUUAGGCCUACACCUGCAACUACCCCAGGCCAGUUAUCCAGGCAGUGACUUUCUGUACAGCUACAGUCACCUCUGGACACCUGCGGAGACUUUAAAAAUUUCCAGAAGGUCAGGAAUUUUUGGAGACCUUUCUUAUGGCUACGUUGCCUGCAAAGGUGAAUCAAUAAGCUUCUGAACUGACUUAGAAAAUGUUGCAGAGACUCUUGUGAACAGAUAGACCCUCUCCUGCCACUCCAGAUAGACGUAUCCGGGUCACACACACCUGAUUUAACAACAUCUCAUUAUCUCAGAUGCUGUAAAGGACUGUCAGUAGGCCUUCAGCCAGGAGGUGGUGCUUCCAAAAGACUGCCAGCUGUGGUGGUAGUGGUGAGAUUUGGACUUGCCUUAUGUUACCCAUGGGAGGCACUCUGGUGUCUCAGGAAAUAGGUGGAGCCAUAGAGCUUCUAAAAGUUUCUUCUGUUAUUUGUGUUAAUCUACCAGGGUAGGUGGUUGAGCAAAACCAAGUGGGAACUAGGUCAGGUAAGGUGAUGCUCUGGCUCUCUAUGUGUGGGACAAGCAGUGGAUCCAGUGGGAAUUGGAAGGCAGUUCUUGGGCCACUGGAGUAAUUUUCCAGAGAGAAGUGAAGCUGUCUCUGCCUCUGUACAAGGAGAGUCCAUAUGAAGAAUGGGGAGUAGCAGCUUGGUAGUAAGCCCCAUCCAGCUCCCACACACUUGGCAAGGCAGGUCUCACACCCACAGUGUUCCACUGGGAGUAGCUAGCUAAGUUUCAAGAAGUCUGAGCUCAGAACUCAAAACUGACCCAUACCAUAAGCCUCUCCUAUGGAGACAGCAACUGCAACCUUCAGGCCACACCCUUCCUGAUCCACCUACAGAGCAGGGUCCCCCAGCUCCUGUGCUUGCUGCUGCAGCACACUUCCCACUCACCUCUCAGUUCUGGCCUGGGGAGUUUGUCCCCAGUCAAGAUUAUAUCACACAUUUCAGUUGGGAGGUUGUCUCAACCUGUGACCACCAUCUGAGUUAGCUGGCAGACUUCUAGGAGGUCCUGUCUGAGGUAGAAUCAGAAAUGGCUUCCCUCCAUUCUACCAGAAACUGGGAAUGUGCUGGAGAUUCAAAGCACAUCCCAAUGCCACUCCUCAUAUACUCACCACUCUUCCCUAAAUCAGCUCCAGCGCUGAGUAGGGUUAAGGCCUUCCCUCACGGCCUGGAUUGAUAGGUUUCCCAGUGGAAGUGUAUAUCUUAGAGUCAGUUUACCCUCCUGUCACACCCUGGAAACUUACAAUUUUCUGCCUAGCUUAUGGUGUAAGCUGCAUCCUGCUGUUUCUUUCAAAUGGUCUGUGGCUUUUUUCAAUUUUCCUGUUAAAUUCCUGUGUAGCUUCUUGAAAGAAAGUUCACAGUGUGAGUCUCUACACAGCAUUUUGUCUUUCCAAGUGCAAGAGGCAGACUAACAAUGCCUUCAGUCCACCAUCUUGGAAAACAAAAGUAACAGUUUUCUCAUUUUUAAAAGUUUUGUUAAGAUCUGUUAAUGAUUCACAAAGAAAUAGUACUUGGGUAUAUUUGAAAUUAGUAUUUAUUCAUUUAUGUUGAUAAGUGAAAAUGCAAGAUGGUUAUCAAGAUGGAAGUACUUAAUAUGUAUAUUUUAAUAUUCUUAGAUGCAGAUAACUUCACUUUUGAUGUAUUUUUAUUUUGUCUCAGUUUCAUUUCAACUUACGUUUAAGGGGUUCUUGAUAAUCUGACAUGAUAAGUGGUGUUGGAAUUGGCAUUAAAAUCCACCAUGCUCUACAGCACUUCAUCCUUCUUCGGCAGGCACCAAUUUGAUCUUCUACUACUUUGCAGACAUCUCUUCUGCAAACACCAGACAAACUGAGACAAUGAACUUCCGCAGGACCCAAAGCACCUCUUACUGCAGGAAAGAAGAUCCAGUGAGAUAGUUAGUCCACAAAUGGAAUGUCAAUCCAUAAACACACUUAAGUAACAGAAUAAAUUUAGUAUGAGCGUUUUUAUGUGGGAGCUCUUGAAAUGGUUGCUGCUCAUAUGUCAGAGACAUAUGCAGUUUAAGAAAGGUAGCAGUUCCAAUCCUGGUUUGGCCCAACAGUCACUGCAUUUUUGGUGGGGAAAAGGGAUGUGGGAGGAGAUGGUACAUCUUCAUCUUUUUCUCUGGGUUUUCUGUCAGAAAGGGAUGUUGCUUACUCCAGUGGCAAAAAAUGCCAGUGUCUUCUGCCAGAGUGGGUUACUGAGGGCCAUGGUGGUUCCACCUUGUGGCUGAUACAGAUAGUCCCUUUCUGCUUUUGUUUCUAGCCAAAAAAGAUGUUUCUCGCAUCUCAGGUAUGCAGACUUCAGCAGCUGUUUUUUCUAUAUGGCUAUUUUUUUUUUCUUUCACUCUCUCUUUCUCUCUUUUUUUUUUGUUGGCUUCACUGUGUUGCCAUAGUUUCUUAAAUGGUCCCUUGAACCCUCCCAGAGCUAUUUUGGUUUGUACAUAACUAUCUAUAUAUUUUUUUCUUGGGGGGAGUGUGUAGAGCUAAAGGCUGGUAUAUCCUGCUCCUGCUCCCCGAAAGUGACGUUAUUCCCCCAAGCUAAUAUUUCAGGCUUUCAAUUUAUUCAUGCUUUCAUCUGUUUAAACAUAAGUAGAAAUUACUUUUUCUCUCCACAUUUAGAUUUGAUCUAUCUACUUUAAUUGCUAAUAGUGUCUUAGUCAUAGAAUAGAUUAGUUAGAAAAAAGUGUUUUUGACAUUAUAAAUGAUUCUUUCAAUUUGUGUCUAAAAGUGGAAAAUACUAGAAAGCUUAACAUUUAUUAUUGUAUUCAGACCAGUAUUUCCUCCAGAUGACCUUUAUUACAACAAAGAUAAUUUAAUGAAGAUCUCUCUAAUGGUAAAGCUGAUGGCUUUGUGCUAUUACAAUAUCCUUCAAAUAAAGUGACGAUCUGGUGGAAAGAACAACUAAAGCAAGGAUUAGGAAGAAAACAGUUAAUACCUUCAUUUUGGUCUCACUCUGCAUUAAGAGUUUUCAUUGUGUUAAGGAUUUAUUAUACAUUAAGUAAUUUAAUGUUCAUUUAAUAAUAAAUGGAUCCUAUUAAAUAUGAUUUUUAAAAUUAUAAUCAC